AACGAACGCUGGCGGCAUGCCUAACACAUGCAAGUCGAACGAGACCUUCGGGUCUAGUGGCGCACGGGUGCGUAACGCGUGGGAACCUGCCCUUAGGUUCGGAAUAACUCCCCGAAAGGGGUGCUAAUACCGGAUAAUGUCUUCGGACCAAAGAUUUAUCGCCUUUGGAUGGGCCCGCGUUGGAUUAGCUAGUUGGUAGGGUAAAAGCCUACCAAGGCGACGAUCCAUAGCUGGUCUGAGAGGAUGAUCAGCCACACUGGGACUGAGACACGGCCCAGAAUCCUACGGGAGGCAGCAGUGGGGAAUAUUGGAAAAUGGGCGAAAGGCUGAUCCAGCAAUGCCGCGUGAGUGAUGAAGGCCUUAGGGUUGUAAAGCUCUUUUACCCGGGAUGAUAAUGACAGUACCGGGAGAAUAAGCUCCGGCUAACUCCGUG
rnacentral:rRNA from 1 species